rnacentral:rRNA from 1 species
AGGACGAACGCUGGCGGCGCGCCUAACACAUGCAAGUCGAGCGAUAACCAGUCCUUCGGGACUGGGGACAGCGGCGAACGGGUGAGUAACACGUGGGUGAUCUACCCUCGGUUUCGGGAUAGCCCGGGGAAACCCGGAUUAAUACCGAAUGGCCUCUAGAGCUCUCGGGCUCGAGAGAAAAGGUAGCUUCGGCCUCUGACCGAGGAUGAGCCCGCGGCCGAUUACGCUAGUUGGUGGGGUAACCGCCACCGAAGGCGACGAUCGGUAGCUGGUCUGAGAGGACGAUCGAGCCACAACUGGACUGAGACACGGCCCAGACUCCGUACGGACGGCAGCAGUGGGGAAUCGUUGCGCAAGUGGGCGAAAGGCCUGACGCGAGCGACCGCGCGUGCGGGAAGAAGGCCGUUGGGUUACGUAACCGUCUUUCGAGGAGGACGAAGCCGACGUCGGUUAAGUACGCCCGAAG